UCUUCCAAAUAUCUUGUCCAUUUUAUUGUCCAAAGAUUGCAUGUUUGUGAGCAGAAUUGAAGGGAGUGAGGGUUUAUUCGAUCGCCUCCUACUCCUCAGAAUGCAGCCCACCGUCUAGCCUCUCUUUCUCUGCCUCCUCUUCACGCAGAUCACUGGGGUAGGGCCUGUUCCAGAGGGAGCCGUAUAUCCUCCGCCUCGGGCUCGUCAGAGUCGUGAAAGAAGGAAAAGGAUUCUGCUAUUCCAUGGUCCAUCCCUCCCCCCCAGGUUAUUGGUGGCCAGCCAGCGUAUACGGUGAGACGCCUCCUGAAGGUUCGACCCCGGGGCAGGGGUUUCCAGUACCUGGUUGACUGGGAGGGUUAUGGCCCAGGGGAGAGGUACUAGGUCCCGGCGAAAGACAUCGUGGAUCUGGCCUUCAUCGCCGAUUUCCACCGCCGACACCGUGGUCAGCCAGUCGUCCUGGUUUUGACCCGUGCCUGUUUCUGGACUCUGUACUCGCCUGCCUGACCAUUCUGCCUGCCUUGACCAUGAGCCGGUCUGCCACCCACUCUGCACCUCCUGGACUCUGAUCUGGUUUUGACCUUUUUGCCUAUCCAUGACCAUUCUCUUGCCUACCCCUUUGGAUAAUUAAACAUUGUAUGACUCCAACCAUUUGCCUCUUGUGUCUGCAUCUGGGUCUCGCCUUGUGCCUUGAUACAAAUAGCCUUUUAUACUAUGCUCUGCCCCUGUUUCCACAUCUGCUAAACUGCCACGUAGA